UCCGUGGAUUCUAUUUCUCCUUGAGGACGGAUUCAGGCCUUCCUGCAGAGCAAAUCUCUUUGUGUUUCAUCCUCUGUGUCUCAAACCUUCCUUGAAAAAAAGGAGGUGGUGAGGAAGAGUUACAAAGCAACAUCAAGAAGAAAGCCCACCACCUGCUGGAUCCAAUUGAUACUACUCCCUCAUGGAAACAAAAGCUAAAGGGGCACCAAAGUCUGCCCCAAAAGCAGAGAAGAAGGAGGCAGCCCCACCCAUAAAGGCAGACCCCAUCCCUGCUGAACCAGCAGCUCCUGAACCUGAGAAGCCAGAGGAAGAUGGAGCUACCAACCAACAGGGGUCAGUAGAGUCCACAGGAAGCUGCUGUGAAACCUUGGAAAGCUUGAAGCCUUUCCUGAUUGGAGGAGCUGUAGUUGCCCUUGGAGCUGUGUUGGUGGGCGUAAUCUUAUUAGCAAAGAAAAACUGACCUAAGGCCUGUGAUUGCUUAUUUAAUGGCAGGGUUGAGUAGUUCACAGACUAUCAAAGUUUAUUUAAGGGGGUUGGGAGUCACUAGGCUUCUUAAUUUUAUGCUGUACUUUAAUUUGAGUGCUUGUGGUGACAUUGCCAUCAGCUGUUAACACAAUCUAGAGAAGCAUUUAGGCAAGAACAUGGCCAAAUCACAACCAUACAGUAAAAGCACCUUUAUCAAAAGAAAUAUGAUACAGUUGUAUUUAAUGUUUACACUACAACUUUUUUCAUCAGUCACAGGCCUGAUGGUUCACUUCUCAAAUAACGUCAUCUUCAUUGGUACCACAAUGUUGAUAUGAAUACAGUUAUCCAUCUUGAAAACUGAAGUACAAUUGCACAGGUCAAUCUUUCUGUUUUUCAACCUAGUUUCAACAGCCUUAUAGGGAAAGUUCACCCAAAAAUUAAAAUUCUCUCAUCAUUUACUCACCCUCAAGCCAUCCCAUAUGUGUAUGACUUUCUUUCAUCUACUGAACACAAAUGAAGAUUUUUAGGAGAAUAUCUCAGCUCUGUUGGUCCUCACAAUGCAAUAAUAAUAAAAAAAACUUCUAAAAGUAAUCCAUAAGACUCCAGUGGUUAAAUCCAUGUCUUCAGAAGCGCUAUGAUAUGUGUGAGUGAGAAGCAGAUCAAUAUUUAACUCCUAUUUUGCUUUAAAUUCUCCUCCCUGCCAAGUAGGUGGCGAUAUACAUGAAGAAUGCAAAUCGCCAAAAACAAAAGAAGAAUAUGUAUGUGAAAGUGAAAGUAGAGAUUUAUAGUAUAUAAAAAAGUACUUAAACAUUGAUCUGUUUCUCAACCACACCUGUCAUAUCGCUUCUGAAGACAUGGAUUUAAACACUGGAGUCUUAUGGAUUAAGUUUAUGCUGCUUUUAUGUGCUUUUGGAGCUUCAGUGUUUUAGUCACCAUUCACUAGCAUUGUAUGGACGUACAGAGCUGAAAUAUUCUUCUAAAAAUCUUUGUGUUCAGCAGAAGAAAAAAAGUCAUACACAUCUGAAAUGGCAUGAGGGUGAAUAAAUGAUGAGAGAAUUUUCAUUUUUGGGUGAACUACUCCUUUAAUUGCAUAACUGCCAACUGUAAGAUAAGGCAAUAAUAGAACGUAUGAUAUGAGUUUCAAAAUACAGGACUUUUCUGCAGAUAAACCAUGAAAUUGAAUCUCAAAGGAAAUUCAAUGCUAUUUAAACCUUGAUUAAACUGAUUAAUUUCAACUCCAAUGUUAGUUCAAAUCAAUAUGUACAAUGAUUGUAAGGGUGCAUUUGUUUGUAAAUAACACUGAAAUCUAUUGGAGUUUGCCUUGCCUUGUUGAGAGAAAGUGUCAACAUGUAAAGAAAUCUCAAUUGUAGUUUUUUAGUUAGACAAAUGAUGCACAUGCGAACAGAUUCUUCUAUCACAAUUUUAUCACCUCAACCUAAAAAUUAAUUCAUUCAAUUAUUAUCAACAUAUGGAUCUUGCCUACUGUAGUAGAUCUGCGUCAUUUCAAAUUCUUAGUUUCUUGUCUGAUGUUGACGAUUUUCUGGAUGAUUAUUACAAAGUGGACUAUGGAAUUAGAUUUAGCAUGUGAUGCAACAUAGAUGCAACAUAGAUUGUUAGGGCUCUCUUCCAAAUAGCUUCAAUAGUACAGUUCCACUAUGAUGAACGCUACACGACAGAAACAAUCCCCAAAUGCAUGCAGACACAAACAAUAUACAACUUUAAUAUAACCCUAAUGUACACACAAUUCCCCUUACAUACUGUUACAGAAAUCCCAUUUUUUAUAAAGUGCGUAUAUAAUGCAAUAAUUCAAAUAGGACUGUGUAAUUAUAAGAUGAUCAGAAAAGAAGAUGGUUAUGUUGGCAAACGUAUCAUCGUGAUGCUGCUGAUAAUGAAUGCUUAUGAUUUUAUUUGUUGGUUCUAAUGAAGUUUACUUAUCCCUCUAAUGUGCCCAUCCUUUCCUUCUGCCAUAAUGUGUUUAUUUUGCACAAAACCUCACCUGCUGUCUCCCUCCUGUUCCUUGUGUAAAAUAAAAAUAAGAUGGCUCCCUUGUGACUCGAUGACCUUAUUAAAGGACAAUGAACCAUA